CAGCAGCCGCGGUAAUACAGGGGGAGCAAGCGUUAUCCGGAAUGAUUGGGCGUAAAGCGUCUGUAGGUCGCAUCUAAAGUCCACUGUUAAAUACCAGGGCUCAACCUUGGACAGGCAUUGGAGUACUUAUUUGCUAGAGUGUGGGAGAGGUAGGGGGAAUUCCUCAUGGAGCGGUGAAAUGCGUAGAGAUGAGGAGGAACACCGGUGGCGAAAGCGCCCUACUGGACCAAGACUGACACUGAGAGACGAAAGCUAGAGGAGUGACCAGGAUUAGAUACCCUGUUAAUUCUAGCUGUAAACGAUGGAAACUAAAUGCUGCGCAAAGCAGUGUUGUAGCUAACGCGUUAAGUUUCCCGCCUGGGGAGUAUGACCGCAAGGUUGAAACUCAAAGGAAUUGACGGGGGCCUGCACAAGCAGAGGAUUAUGUGGUUUAAUUCGAUGCAACGCGAAGAACCUUACCAGGGUUUGACAUACCAAUAAGUUCUCAGAAAUGAGGAUGUGCUUUAAAUCUGCGAAGAAAAAGAAUUUGGAUACAGGUGGUGCAUGGCUGUCGUCAGCUCGUGCCUUGAGGUGUAUGAUUAAGUUCCAUAACGAGCGCAACCCUUGUCUUUAGUUAUAUUCUCUAAAGAGACUGCCGGUGUAAGCCGGAGGAAGGAGAGGAUGACGUCAAGUCAGCAUGCCCCUUACACCCUGGGCGACACACGUAAUACAAUGGCCAAGACAAUGAGAUGCGAAUAUGCAAAUAUCAGCGAACCUCGAAACUUGGCCCCAGUUCGAAUUGCGGGCUGCAACUCGCCCGCAUGAAGCCGGAUUUGCUUGUAAUCGCCGGUCAGCCAUACGGCGGUGAAUACGUUCCCAGGCUUGUACACACCGCCCAG
rnacentral:rRNA from 1 species